ACUUAUUUGAAUGUCAAAAUAAGUUAUUAUAUAUACAUAUAUAGUCCGUUUACUAUAUUUUUAUGAGUAUUAUUGGUUUCGUAUUCAUAAGUUGUUUUUUAUGAUAAAGCUUUUGAAUUGACGAUUCAUAUUGUUAAACAUUAUUUAAAGCAUUUAAAAUUUUAAAAUUCAAAUUUUAUAAUUUUUUAACAUCAUUUACCUUAUGAUAAAAAAAUCUCAAAAUUAAUAAUUUUUAACGACUGAUAUGAGAUACUUGCUAGUUUAAUGGUGUAAAAGAAUCGAAAUUGAUUGAAUUUUUAUAGAAAAUUCUAUUCAGUAUCUAGAUAAAGAUCAAUAACUCCAAUCUUAAAUUGAAAUAUCCGGUUAUCCAUUUUUAAGAUAUCGUUCAAUUUUGACUGUUCAUUUUAUGUCCGUUUGAUGGAUUUUAUUCUGAUUUUGAAAAAUUACGAAAUUUAUUUUUUAAAAGUUUUAAAUACUCUAGAUCAUAUUUAACAGAAUGGAUCGUUGAUUCAAAAACUCUAUCAUUCAAAAAUAACUUAUGAAUACGAAGGGCUAUAUACUCAUGAUAAGAGUAUAGUAGCCCUACUCUCUCUCUCUCUCUCUCUCUCUCUCUCUCUCUCUAUAUAUAUAUAUAUAUAUAUAUAUAUAGUGUUUGUAGGUGGAAUAGUGUUUGAUCCAAGGGGUAUUAGUAAUUAUGGAGUGGAUCCAAAGGUUAAAAACUUAGAAGCAUCAAGUGGAUGGUGCUUCUAAAAGUAUCAUAGCUCAACUCUAGUGGAGCUAGAAUACUCCCAAAAGCACGAAAUGGGUGGUGCUUUAGAAUUUUUAGCCCUUGGAUGGAGAGAUGUGAGGUUGAGAUGAUGGUGGUAGGUGGUGGUAGGUGAUGGUAGGUGGAAUAGUGGUGGUAGAUGGUGGUAGGUGGUGGUAGGUGGAAUAGUGUUUGAUCCAAGAGAUAUUAGUAAUUAUGGAGUGGAUCCAAAGGUUAGAAACUUAGAAGCACCAAGUGGAUGGUGCUUCUAAAAGUAUCAUAGCUCAACUCUCUCUCUCUCUCUCUCUCUCUCUCUCUCUCUCGCUCUAUAUAUAUAUAUAUAUAUAUAUAUAUAACUAGGCUGGAAUACUAUCAAUAGCACCAAUGACUUGGUGCUAUUAGGUUUUCUGCCCUUGGAUUAAAAGAUGUGUGGUUAGGAUAAUGUGGGGCCCCUAGGGUUGAGUGAGUGGUUAGUUGAAUAGUAUAAUAGAACUUGGUGCUAUUAGGUUUUCUGCCAUUGGAUUAAAAGAUGUGUGGUUAGGAUAAUGUGGGGCCCCUAGGGUUGAGUGAGUGGUUAGUUGAAUAGUAUAAUAGAACUUGGUGCUAUUAGGUUUUCUGCCAUUGGAUUAAAAGAUGUGUGGUUAGGAUAAUGUGGGGCCCCUAGGGUUGAGUGAGUGGUUAGUUGAAUAGUAUAAUAGAACUUGGUGCUAUUAGGUUUUCUGCCAUUGGAUUAAAAGAUGUGUGGUUAGGAUAAUGUGGGGCCCCUAGGGUUGAGUGGGUGGUUAGUUGAAUAGUAUAAUAGAACGGUUAAAAAUGAUAAAAGAGGUAAAUCUAAUGGCAUAAAAUUUGAUAGCACCAAAUACUUCGUGCUAUCGAUAGUAUCCCAACCGGACUGUCUCUCUCUCUCUCUCUCUCUCUCUCUCUAUAUAUAUAUAUAUAUAUAUAUAGGGGUGGCAAUCCAGCUCGCUGUUCGCGAGCCAGCUCGUGUUCGGCUCGAAAUGAGCUCGAGAUCGGCUCGCUCGUUUAGUAAAUGAGCCGAACACG
rnacentral:lncRNA from 1 species